rnacentral:tRNA from 1 species
GUCGGGGUGGCUCAGCCUGGCGGAGCGCCUGACUCAUAAUCAGGAGGUCGCGGGUUCAAAUCCCGCCCCGACA